rnacentral:rRNA from 1 species
UCGGAUUGUAGUCUGCAACCCGACUACAUGAAGCCGGAAUCGCUAGUAAUCGCGGAUCAGAAUGCCGCGGUGAAUACGUUCCCGGGUCUUGUACACACCGCCCGUCACACCAUGGGAGUCGGAAAUGCCCGAAGCCGGUGACCCAACCCGAAAGGGAGGGAGCCGUCGAAGGCAGGUCGGAUGACUGGGGUGAAGUCGUAACAAGGUACC